rnacentral:lncRNA from 1 species
UGACUUGCCUCAACUUCUCUCCCACAGGUCCAUCAUGUAAUCAAUGCUCAAGUACAAGGAGAGUGUCAUUUUCAGCUUUUUGCAGUGGACCACAACAAAGCAAAGUUUCCCCAGGACAAAGUUCGGCUGCUUUCUCAUUCCCUUCUUCUGUCGUGAAGACUAUUCUCCAAAUCAAACAAGCAAAGAAGAGAAUUAUAGGCUGUAUUUUAGGAUUGUUAAAGGGACUUGACAAACAAAUGUGCAAUGUCUCCUACUUCAGUCAUUGGCCAUGAACCACCACAGAACAACUGCAUUACUAAGAAACUUGCACCAAAAGACCUUGCCCAAGUCAAUAGAGGUAUGUAUGGUAAACAAAGGCUAUGAGACUCAUUUCUGUUUUUUUUUUGUUUUUUUGUUUUUUUUUUUUGGUACAAGGGGAUUGAACUCGGGUCCUUGCACUUGAGAGGUAGGCAGCAGAACCACUGAGCUAAGUCCCCAGCCUUUGUGUCUGACCUUUUUCUCUCAGAGUAUACUUGAAAUACACUUUCACUAAGAUGAUUAGAUUUUUAUAAUUUAUAUUUUACAUAGUGCAGCAUAGCUUUUGUUUCCUGAUUUUUUUAUCAGAUCGUUGAAGAUUCCUGUAGCCGUGCUUCAUGAAAUUUGUUCAUUAGAUAAAGUUGACACACUGAGUUAGAAGUGCAGCAGGACUUCAAUAUUUGGAAGCAAUGAUUUAAGGUUCCAAUAUCCAGGAGAAAAGAUGAAAAGAAGUCUCAGAAUCUCUCCCAGAAUUCAGAGGAUUUUUAAAUAGUGGGCACUAUUGAUUUUUAUCAUCCUACAGCUACCAUUCAUUGGGUGCUUCACAGGGACUGGGGACUGUGCUUCUUACAUAUAUGUACAGACUUAUUUCAUCACUAUAGUGAUGUAAUGGGUAGACAUUCCUAUCUUCAUUUUGAAGGGGAUAAACUGAGACUUAAGUAAUAGGUCCAAACACACAAAUGAUGCAGGGUCAAAUUGAGGUUUGAACUCAUAUAUCUUUUAUAAAACACCCAAGUUCCUGAUUGCUACUACCACUGUUUAAAAUUACUGGUUCUAAUAUUACUUUUAAAAAUAAUACUUGAGAUCUAUUGAAAAUUGUCUAACUAUCAUCAGAUAUACUACAUUUGAUAGCUCAUUCAGUUUUAAUACUAUUUGACAGAGGGUGUUAUUAAGUGUAUUUUACCAUGAAGGUAAGGAAAUUUAGAGAGUUAUACAAUGGUCUCAAGACUGCCUGUUACAGAAGAAGUCAAAGCAAGUUGUCAGGUUGGGGAGACUGGUUUCAUCCACUGCUCCAUACUCCUUCUCAUCAUGUCCUUUGUUUUGUGGAUACAUAGCUAUUCUUACAUUCAUUAGCCAGGAGAGGAUAAGCAAUGUGCUACAACAAGUGAAUCCAUAUAUCAGUGCCUUACAACAGCAGAAAGUUAUUUCUUACUCAUACUUUCUGUGCAUGGCAGUUGUGAUUAUAUUCCAAAUGUGCAUUUCAGGAGCCAGACUGACAAGACAGACACCUUGCAAGACCCAGUUGCAGAACAAAGGAAUAAAAUAUACUAUUAUAUGAUGGCUUGUAAACUUCUGCAUAGAGAUUAUAUGGCCAUUCUUUGUUUUUGAGAUGGGUCCCCUUAUAUAAUUCAGGCUGGCCUCUCAAGGUCAGAAUUACAGGUAUGUGUCACCAUGCCGGGCAACAUGGCCACUCUUGAAUACAGCUGAAUGGAGAUAAAUAAUCCUCUCACACUGAUGGACUCCACAGAGACAGAAUCAGUCUGUUUGGGAAAUAAUGGUACUGUACAGCAAUGUACAGCAAGGAUGAGUAUAUUCACCCACAAGAUGACGGAGCGGUGCUUUGUUGAGAUUAUCCCUCUUUGAUAGCAUCAGCUAUUAGAUUACUAGGGAAAGAUGUACAAGGCAGUCAAGCAGUUUUUAAGAGUGAAGAGAAAAAUUGAUGGGCAAAUAUAUUUCUCAUUAUGAUAGGAAGUCCACUAUUCAUACUUUAGGGACUUUGGCUUGAUAAAAGAUAACUAAUGAUGAGAAUUAGUUGAAAAGCACCA